rnacentral:rRNA from 1 species
UACAGAGGUCCCAAGCGUUGUUCGGAUUCACUAGGCGUAAAGGGUGCGUAGGUGGUAGGGUAAGUCGGAUGUGAAAUCUCCGAGCUCAACUCGGAAAUGGCAUUGGAAACUACCCUGCUAGAGGGUCGGAGGGGGGACUGGAAUACUUGGUGUAGCAGUGAAAUGCGUAGAUAUCAAGUGGAACACCAGUGGCGAAGGCGAGUCCCUGGACGACUCCUGACACUGAGGCACGAAAGCUAGGGGAGCAAACAGG